rnacentral:lncRNA from 1 species
ACAACUGCUUAAACUCCAGCUCCAGGGGAUCCAACUGUGCUCCACAGACACUGCACUCACAGGCACACACCACACACAGACAGACACUGCACUCAUAGGCACACACACACACAGACACUGCACUCACAGGCACACACCAUACACACACAGACACUGCAUUCAGAGGCACACACCACACACACACAGACACUGCAUUCACAGGCACACACCACACACACACACACACACACACACACACACACACACUGCACUCACAGGCACACACCACACACACUGCUCUCACAGGCACACACCACACACACACAGACACUGCACUCAUAGGCACACACCACACAUAGACACUGCACACACAAGCACACACCACACACACACAGACACUGCAUUCACAGGCACACACCACACACACACAGACACUGCACUCACACACACACACACACCAUACACACAGACACUGCACUCACAGGCACACACUACACAUAGACACUGCACUCAUAGGCACACACCACACACAGACAGAUACUGCACUCACAGGCACA